GGAGGGCCUGUUUCCACUGAGAAGGAGGGAGUCUGAGCCGGGUGCUGGGCCCCGUGCGCGCUGGGCAGCCCUGGGCGCUGGUCGUAAGGACCGGGAAUGUCAGCAUGAAGCAGGCACGUACCCCAGUGCGGCCCACAGAAGUUUGGAUCGUUCCACGGGAACCCGGGCCACGUGGGGACCUUACGCUGCAGGACGUGGCACCUGGCCUGCCAGAGGACAGAAGGGGGUUUAUCGUCCUGGAGAGUCGCGAGCCACGCCCCCCCAGCCAGGAAGGCCACAUUUCACCAUCAAGGACACGACCCUGGGUAUUUACAGACGGUAAUGAGACUGUCCACUGCUC